UACGGGGGGUGCAAGCGUUAAUCGGAAUCACUGGGCGUAAAGGGUGCGUAGGCGGUACGUUAGGUCUGUCGUGAAAUCCCCGGGCUCAACCUGGGAAUGGCGGUAGAAACCGGCGCACUAGAGUAUGGGAGAGGGUGGUGGAAUUCCAGGUGUAGCGGUGAAAUGCGUAGAGAUCAGAAAGAAGGCCGGUGGCGAAGGCGGCCACCUGGCCCAAUACUGACGCUGAGGCACGAAAGCGUGGGGAGCAAACAGG
rnacentral:rRNA from 1 species